AUUGAACGCUGGCGGCAGGCCUAACACAUGCAAGUCGAGCGGAUGAGGAAAGCUUGCUUUUCGAUUCAGCGGCGGACGGGUGAGUAAUGCCUAGGAAUCUGCCUGUUAGUGGGGGAUAACUCGGGGAAACUCGGGCUAAUACCGCAUACGUCCUACGGGAGAAAGUGGGGGAUCUUCGGACCUCACGCUAACAGAUGAGCCUAGGUCGGAUUAGCUAGUAGGUGAGGUAAUGGCUCACCUAGGCGACGAUCCGUAACUGGCCUGAGAGGAUGAUCAGUCACCCUGGAACUGAGACACGGUCCAGACUCCUACGGGAGGCAGCAGUGGGGAAUAUUGGACAAUGGGCGAAAGCCUGAUCCAGCCAUGCCGCGUGUGUGAAGAAGGUCUUCGGAUUGUAAAGCACUUUAAGUUGGGAGGAAGGGUAUUCACCUAAUACGUGGGUACUUUGACGUUACCAACAGAAUAAGCACCGGCUAACUCUGUGCCAGCCGCCGCAGUAAAAC
rnacentral:rRNA from 1 species